rnacentral:rRNA from 1 species
CCCUAUUGGUUGGGAGCAUAAGGAACUACUCUCCGUUUGAGGGAUGGAGGCUUCUGGGAUGAAAACCUUGAGAGUCAAGGAGGAAGGUGAGACGGUAUUUGAGAUAUAGGGGGGGGGUAAUUCUUAGCAAAAAACCGCUGUAAUACGGGAGUGGCAAGCUGUAUCCGAAAUUAUUGGGUGAAAGUCAACCGCAGGCGGCCCUACAAUACUGCUGUUAAAAAGUGGAGGUUAACUCCAUCAUGGCAGUGGAAACUGUUGGGUUAGAGUGUGUAGAGGGCAGAGGGAAUUCCCUGUGUAGCGGUGAAAUGCGUAGAUAUCUGGAAGAUCACCAGUGGCGAAGGCGCUCUGAUGGGCCAUCAUUGACGCUCAUGGACGAAAGCCAGGGGAGAAAAAGGGAUUAGAUACCCCUGUAGUCUUGGCCGUAAACGAUGUACUUUAGGUGUCGGGAGAAUCGACCCUUCCUGUGUCGUAGCCAGGGCGUUAAUUUC